rnacentral:lncRNA from 1 species
CUAUAGGCGGACCAGAGAAACAAGGAGCAAUUUAUGGGUGUGCAAAACUUAGCUCAUUGGGCAGCAGUGGGCGCAGCUCCGAGAUGAGGAUCAUGGACUCAGAUGUCGAAUUUCUUCGAUGAAUUGCAGCGGAGGAUGGGUUAAGCGGAUGCGCCCAGCGCUGGUAGUGGGGCGGAGGUUUGUAGUGGGGCGGAGACAUGGCGCUGAGAGGAGGCGGAUGCUCGUGGGCGGAGGAUUUUUGCUAGUCGGAGAAGUGCCGGCAGAGCGUGGAUUUUUUUUUUUUUUUUUUUUUUUUUUUUACCAGCGGUGGUGGUUGUUGACGUUGGUGCUACAGCCUGGCAGAGCGGCAAGCAGAAGGGUGCAGACGUCAAGAGGAAGUUCGGCGGUGCACCUCCAGCGGUGCAGCUCGGACGAGGUUGCCCAGCGGAGCGGUGGCUGGCGGAACUUUGUUUCAGCAGCGGAGCAGUGGUGAUGCCCAGCGGAGGAACUCCGCCACUGUCCGGUCGGUGCAGCCCGGCGGAGGCUUCCUGGCGGUGAUGCUGGUGGAAGCAUGCUACAUAGCAGAAGCUCGUCAUGGAGGCUGACAAAAGCUUGGCGGUGGUUGGCCAGCGGUGUACAGUGUAGCGGAAGAUUUUCUGUCGGAGGUUGGCUAGCGAUCCGUUUCCGGUGGAGGAUGGCCUACUGGAGGUAGCAGUAGAGCUUGGUGGCGGUGCCUAGCGGUGUACAGUCCGCUUGACGGAAGCCUGCUGGAGUUAGAGCGGAGUUUUGCCGGCGGAGGUGAAGCGCAGCGGUGAACAGUCCAGCGGAGGUGAGUUGGGCGGAGGUAGGGCCGCUGCAGUGAGCGGAGGAAGCCAGCAGUGGCUGCAGGUGUGGUUGGUUGCUGCUGCUGGUAGGGACUGGCGGAGAUGGUUUCCAGCGAAGGAGGAGUUCUGGCGGAAGUGGCUGGGUGCCCAGAGCAAAUCUCUGGGUGUCCAGAGAAGUUUUCCGCCAAUUUUUCAUUUUUUUUUUUUUUUUUUUUUUUGGCGUUCAGCGUUGACUAACCAUGGUCAGCGUUGACCAAGCUAGCCCGGCGUUGACCAACCCUAAUGGGCGUUGACCGACUCCGCCGGGCGUUGACCGACCCUAAUUUGAUGUUGAAUGAGCGUUGACUCGACACUUUCGGGUCAAAGUUCGUGGUAGGUGACGAAGCCUUUGUGUUGGCUUCCCACAGACGGUGCCAAUGUUAACGUUUGGAUCCGUUGGGAAUCUAAUUAACGAUAAGUGAGAGAGAGAGAGAGAUUGACACAAGGUGUAUAGUGGUUCGCUUCCCGCCUUAGCGGGAAACUACGUCC